UACGUAGGGUGCAAGCGUUGUCCGGAAUUAUUGGGCGUAAAGAGCUCGUAGGCGGUUUGUCGCGUCCGCUGUGAAAACGCGAGGCUCAACCUCGCGCCUGCAGUGGGUACGGGCAGACUAGAGUGCGGUAGGGGAGAUUGGAAUUCCUGGUGUAGCGGUGGAAUGCGCAGAUAUCAGGAGGAACACCGAUGGCGAAGGCAGAUCUCUGGGCCGUAACUGACGCUGAGGAGCGAAGCGUGGGGAGCGAACAGG
rnacentral:rRNA from 1 species